rnacentral:rRNA from 1 species
AUUGAACGCUGGCGGCAGGCCUAACACAUGCAAGUCGAACGGUAACAGGAAGCAGCUUGCUGCUUUGCUGACGAGUGGCGGACGGGUGAGUAAUGUCUGGGAAACUGCCCGAUGGAGGGGGAUAACUACUGGAAACGGUAGCUAAUACCGCAUAACGUCGCAAGACCAAAGAGGGGGACCUUAGGGCCUCUUGCCAUCGGAUGUGCCCAGAUGGGAUUAGCUAGUAGGUGGGGUAACGGCUCACCUAGGCGACGAUCCCUAGCUGGUCUGAGAGGAUGACCAGCCACACUGGAACUGAGACACGGUCCAGACUCCUACGGGAGGCAGCAGUGGGGAAUAUUGCACAAUGGGCGCAAGCCUGAUGCAGCCAUGCCGCGUGCAUGAAGAAGGCCUUCGGGUUGUAAAGUACUUUCAGCGGGGAGGAAGGGAGUAAAGUUAAUACCUUUGCUCAUUGACGUUACCCGCAGAAGAAGCACCGGCUAACUCCGUG